GACAGAGGGUGCAAUCGUUGUUCGGAAUUACUGGGCGUAAAGCGCGUGUAGGCGGCCCUGCAAGUCGGGUGUGAAAUCCCACGGCUCAACCGUGGAAGUGCAUUCGAAACUGCAGGGCUAGAGUCCUGGAGAGGAAGGUGGAAUGCUUGGUGUAGAGGUGAAAUUCGUAGAUAUCAAGCGGAACACCGGUGGCGAAGGCGGCCUUCUGGACAGUGACUGACGCUGAGACGCGAAAGCGUGGGGAGCAAACAGG
rnacentral:rRNA from 1 species